CGUCCAGACUCCUACGGGAGGCAGCAGUGGGGAAUAUUGGGCAAUGGGCGCAAGCCUGACCCAGCAACGCCGCGUGAAGGAAGAAGGCUUUCGGGUUGUAAACUUCUUUUAUUCGGGACGAAGAAAGUGACGGUACCGAAUGAAUAAGCCACGGCUAACUACGUGCCAGCAGCCGCGGUAAUACGGAGGGUGCGAGCGUUAAUCGGAAUUACUGGGCGUAAAGCGCUCGUAGGCGGUAUGUCAAGUCAAGGGUGAAAUCCCCGCGCUCAACGUGGGAACUGCCUUUGAAACUGGCAAACUGGAGUGUGUGAGAGGAUAGUGGAAUUCCAGGUGUAGGAGUGAAAUCCGUAGAUAUCUGGAGGAACAUCAGUGGCGAAGGCGACUAUCUGGCACAUAACUGACGCUGAGGAGCGAAAGCGUGGGUAGCAAACAGGAUUAGAUACCCGGGUAC
rnacentral:rRNA from 1 species